CUGUGCUCAUAAAGUUCUAUAG
rnacentral:miRNA from 1 species